CAAAUACUAUCCCUGUGUGUGAUUCAAUUAUUUAUUUUUUGUUUUCGCUCAUUCUACAUUGCAUGUCCUUCGGGGACGUUUGAGACACUGGCCUCCUGUCUUCAAUCUCCCCUUACAUAAAUAUCUCAGUUGCAAUCUCGUUUUUCCUACAGGGCCAACGACCUGCUAAAAACGAUGCUGAUGCCUGUAUACACUUUACUGAGCUGUUUGCUUAACUUUUGAGAUCGAGGUAAUGCGAGGAAUAUGAAUUUCUUUUUGAAGAACAUGCUGAAAGCUUCAACAUGCAAAAACGCAAGCAAAAAUUAAAUAGAAGAGCUACAAGAAAUGCUGGGGA
ensembl:lncRNA